AUCUGGUUGCAUCUAUUCUAUAGAAAUCGACUUGGGUCUUUUUCAGAGAAGAGUUUAACUUAGAUGAAAUUGGUCAUAUUGACCUUAUUUCAGUUUUAGGAACCAUUUCAUUUAACGUUUUAGCCUUUUUUAUCAAACUGGUUCCCCUUUAAAAUACAUACAGAGAUUUACUUACCAGUUUUGAAUUUCUUUUUCGGAGACUGAAAGAAAAAGCAAACGAUGUUAAGUCACUUUGUGAUACGGUGUCAAGUUAGUAUGUGAUAAAGACAUAUGUGAUUCGAAUGAAGCAAAAAAUGCCUCGGAAAGCCACUUCACCGCAAGACUUCUGCGUGUCAUUUGUACAAAGUGUAUCAUUGAUACCUAUGGACAUAAAUCAGAGAUGACAGGACGAAAAGUGAUUAUUAGAUAUUCUUUUAAAAAUCGUAUCACCUUUUUCUAAUCACCUUUUCAGAUGAUACAAGCGGUGAAGAAUUUUCUGAGUCUUGAAUCGAUGACGAUACAAUGUCGUAUAAGGAUGAACUUUGAAAAAACCUGUCGGCGUCUCCUUUUUUUUGCAUUGGAACUUGGUUCUGAUCCUUUACAUGGAAAUACACGUCCGUGUUUGCCUCACUCUUCUUUUUUUUUUUUUUUUUCUAUGCGAUUGGCUACGGUUCGUUAUCUCCACUUUUCAUAAAUUGAAUUACGAAAUUUAUUAAUUACGAAAACAAUUAUAGACAACGAGUGAUUGAUUGAUAGUAUUUUGUUUAACGUCUCUCUCGAGAAUUUUUCACUCAUUUGGAAACGUCGCUAUUGCCGGUGAAGGGCUGCAAAAUUUAGGCAGGCCUACGCUUGGCGCUUACGGACGUUGGACAGAGAGGGAUCUUUAUCGUGCCACAUCCGCUUGACACGGGGCCUCGGUUUAUGUGGUCUCAUCCGAUUAAGGACCGUCCCAUUUAAUUGGAUCUUACGACAAGCAAGAGGCACUGGAACCUAUUCUAACCCAGAUCCCCUCGCCAAAACUUGGAUAUGAUACAAUGAAGAUACAAGGAUAGUAGAUUUUUGUCUGUCAGGAAGACUAACACAUGUUUGACCUUCAAAGAAACGUUCCGAAAAGAUCGACACAAGUUUGACUUUCAAAUAUCUGACCUUAAAACAAACGUUCCAAAACAAUCGACACAUGCCUGACCUUCAAAUGUCUGACCUUCAAAGAACCGUUCCAAAUCUAACAAGAAUGCUGACAUCUAUCUUCAAAUAAACAUUCCAAAUCAUCCAAGAAAACCGACACACGUUUUACCUAUGAAUAAAUGUUCCAAAUUGUU